UUGGAGAGCAAUGAUGAUCCU
rnacentral:siRNA from 1 species